rnacentral:tRNA from 2 species
GGAGAGGUGGCAGAGUGGUCUAUCGCGACGGUCUUGAAAACCGUUGGGGCGCAAGCUCCCGGGGGUUCGAAUCCCUCCCUCUCCGCCA